GAUUAAGUUAUUAAGGGCGCACGGUGGAUGCCUUGGCACUAGAAGCUGAUGAAGGACGUUACUAACGACGAUAUGCUUUGGGGAGCUGUAAGUAAGCUUUGAUCCAGAGAUUUCCGAAUGGGGAAACCCAGCAUGAGUUAUGUCAUGUUAUCGAUAUGUGAAUACAUAGCAUAUCAGAAGGCACACCCGGAGAACUGAAACAUCUUAGUACCCGGAGGAAGAGAAAGAAAAUUCGAUUCCCUUAGUAGCGGCGAGCGAAACGGGAAGAGCCCAAACCAACAAGCUUGCUUGUUGGGGUUGUAGGACACUCUAUACGGAGUUACAAAGGACGACAUUAGACGAAUCAUCUGGAAAGAUGAAUCAAAGAAGGUAAUAAUCCUGUAGUCGAAAAUGUUGUCUCUCUUGAGUGGAUCCUGAGUACGACGGAGCACGUGAAAUUCCGUCGGAAUCUGGGAGGACCAUCUCCUAAGGCUAAAUACUCUCUAGUGACCGAUAGUGAACCAGUACCGUGAGGGAAAGGUGAAAAGCACCCCGGAAGGGGAGUGAAAUAGAACCUGAAACCGUGUGCUUACAAGUAGUCAGAGCCCGUUAAUGGGUGAUGGCGUGCCUUUUGUAGAAUGAACCGGCGAGUUACGAUUUGAUGCAAGGUUAAGCAGUAAAUGUGGAGCCGUAGCGAAAGCGAGUCUGAAUAGGGCGUUUAGUAUUUGGUCGUAGACCCGAAACCAGGUGAUCUACCCUUGGUCAGGUUGAAGUUCAGGUAACACUGAAUGGAGGACCGAACCGACUUACGUUGAAAAGUGAGCGGAUGAACUGAGGGUAGCGGAGAAAUUCCAAUCGAACCUGGAGAUAGCUGGUUCUCUCCGAAAUAGCUUUAGGGCUAGCCUCAAGUGAUGAUUAUUGGAGGUAGAGCACUGUUUGGACGAGGGGCCCCUCUCGGGUUACCGAAUUCAGACAAACUCCGAAUGCCAAUUAAUUUAACUUGGGAGUCAGAACAUGGGUGAUAAGGUCCGUGUUCGAAAGGGAAACAGCCCAGACCACCAGCUAAGGUCCCAAAAUAUAUGUUAAGUGGAAAAGGAUGUGGCGUUGCCCAGACAACUAGGAUGUUGGCUUAGAAGCAGCCAUCAUUUAAAGAGUGCGUAAUAGCUCACUAGUCGAGUGACACUGCGCCGAAAAUGUACCGGGGCUAAACAUAUUACCGAAGCUGUGGAUUGUCCUUUGGACAAUGGUAGGAGAGCGUUCUAAGGGCGUUGAAGCAUGAUCGUAAGGACAUGUGGAGCGCUUAGAAGUGAGAAUGCCGGUGUGAGUAGCGAAAGACGGGUGAGAAUCCCGUCCACCGAUUGACUAAGGUUUCCAGAGGAAGGCUCGUCCGCUCUGGGUUAGUCGGGUCCUAAGCUGAGGCCGACAGGCGUAGGCGAUGGAUAACAGGUUGAUAUUCCUGUACCACCUAUAAUCGUUUUAAUCGAUGGGGGGAC
rnacentral:rRNA from 1 species